rnacentral:lncRNA from 1 species
AUUGGUUCACCCCAACUUGUUCAUACCGGUACCGUUACAUUAUUUUUUUUCCUUCUUUUUAUUUUCGCAGAGAGAGAGUUUAUCAGUUAGUGAGAGAGAAUGUGAGUGGGUUUUUAUGGGUAGUGAUGAGUGAGGGUGAGCCACGUGAGAGAUGUGUGAGUCUUCUCUCUUUUAUUUUUAUUUUCUUUUCUUUUUCUACUGUGAGAAACAUUGGAGAGAAG